CGCGGGUGUCGGGAGACGCCUCGGGCCUCAUAAGCCCGGUGGUCCCGGUUCGACUCCGGGCCCCGCAACCA
rnacentral:tRNA from 1 species